rnacentral:rRNA from 1 species
UACGUAGGGUGCGAGCGUUAAUCGGAAUUACUGGGCGUCAAGCGUGCGCAGGCGGUUUUGUAAGCCAGAUGUGAAAUCCCCGGGCUUAACCUGGGAAUGGCAUUUGGGACUGCAAGGCUUGAGUGCGGCAGAGGAGACUGGAAUUCCCGGUGUAGCAGUGAAAUGCGUAGAUAUCGGGAGGAAUACCGAUGGCGAAGGCAGGUCUCUGGGCUGACACUGACGCUCAUGCACGAAAGCGUGGGGAGCAAACAGG